GUCCUCUCCUGCCACUUCCGUGGGUGCUGAGGGUAGAGGCUGGGGGCGGCGCCGACCUUGAGAGCGCGCGAGGGAGGCGCAGGCGCAGCACAGGUAGAUGGGCGGGCGGCGCCCGGUGCAGCGCCAGUGAGGAGCCGGAGGCUGCCCCUUCUUGGAGCCUUGCCGGAUCUCCGCAGACCUGGCUGUCCCUGUGUCGUCCUUUCACCUGCCUUAGUGUGCCCUGCAGCUCUCCCCUUCCGCAGGGCAGUGGAAUUUGAUCGUGAGACGUCUCUUCACUGUUCCCGCAGACCAGUGGAAACCAGAAGAACACGGAGCAAGAGCAGAGAAACCAGGACAGUUCUGCCUACUUAAGACAUUCCAGUAUGGACGGUUUCCUUUUAUUUAAAAAAAAAAAAAAAACUAUAUAGAUCAUCGGCUGGGAAAAAAGUGAAACUCCUUUGCACCCCUUAAAUUUGUGUUGUCGGGUUUCCCCUCCCCCCCCAAAAAAAAAUCUGUGCGCUUCAACUCUGUGCCUUUUUAUGUGGUCAUAAGGCACAGUCCUGGAGGCGUGCUUGAAGUGGAUAUACAGAAAACCUUGAACCCAGAAUCUAGUCUCGCAACUUGGGGAUCCGUGCUUAAGACGUGGCUGUAUCUACAAUUUCAUUUAUAGGAUCUCCUUUUGCCGCUGUCUAGUUUUGCCCCAAAGGUGGAAUUGGGAAGGUAAAGUAGGAGACUUCCCAAGAAGUCAAAAGUUUGGGCAGGCAGCGGGGGCUAGAGGUGUUGUUGCACCCUGCUUGUCAGGGUACCUGGAGAGCAUGGCAGCCAAUCCACGAGUGGUCGCAGGGCCCUUGGAACCACUUCUGAGCCAUCCGCAAAGAAGCAUCCAUAAGGCAAAUUGUUUUAUAAUAGAAAAGGGGCUAGAGACUGAGUGUAUGAGUUGUUUUUGACUCUUAAAUUUUCUCUUGGGGAGAGAUGAAUAAUGUGACAGACUAGAGAAAGGACCUUGGAAGCAGCAGGCGGUGGGGUGGGGCUGGGAGAUAGUUUGUGAGACAGACCUGCUGAGAAUCCAUCCAGAACUUCCCCGAGGGUCCUACCUCUGCUGGAUAGGGACGACGCUGUAAAUAGCCCCAGGGCAUCUGCAGAUGCUAAGCGUGGUAGAGAAGGACUGGAGUCGUUCUGCUUGUGUAUCUGCGGGAAGCAGCUGCUAUCCUUGAGGAAGAAAAGGUGGAGAAGGAACCUGGCUAUCAGUCUGUCAGUGACAACACACUGUGUGAAGUCUUACUCUUUCAUUUCUGACACUUUGGUUCUUACAUCCGUCCUAAACCUGGCAGCCUCCUUGAGGUUCACAAAGCCUCUCCUCCAUGUGACAGUAAGACAGGAAUUAUCAGGGUGGAAUCCAUUCCUGCCAGAGUAAAACCACGAAAGGAAAUCACAGCCCGUAUUUGUUACCUGCUUAUGAUUUUUAAAAGAUCAUGGGGUUCCUUAUUUGGCAUUUGACAAGUUGAAAAUAACCCUCCGUUAAUAUCCUUUAAUAUUCCAGUUUCUGUUACAGUAUGAAAAAUCUGUUACAAGUGACGUUUUUUUAAAAAGAUUAAAAUGUAUACCAUGUAUGUUUAAAGGCA